rnacentral:ncRNA from 1 species
CAUGUGCUUGGUUGAUAAGACCAAUGGUGCGAAGCUACCAUCUGAGGGAUUAUGACUGAACGCCUCUAAGUCAGAAUCCCGCCUGGAAAGCGACGAUGCAUUCGUGCCUCGGCCUCGAGAGGCGUAGCUAGACGGCCGCGUGGCCGUGGAAAGAGCCCGAUUCCGACCCGAGAGGCCGCGGCAAGAGGCGGCCUCGAAGUCGGUGGAUCCUCCUGCUCGAAAGGCGGGGUGCUAAACCAUUCGCAGACGACCUAGUUGAAGAUCGGGGUGUCGUGAUCACUAGAGCAGUACAUCUCACUGCGAUUUGUUGAGAGUAAGCCUCAAGAUCUGUCGGUUUGU